CAUGUUUUUUUUUUAAACAUUUUCUUCAAAUCAUUUUAAUCAGUUUAGCACAGCACUUCCCAAGCUAUUGAAUAAAUCAGAAAAGAUAAAACGUGACAGUAGUAGCCUCAGGUUACUCAUAAAUGGACAGUGUUCACAACUGAGAAAGUGGAGGAAAAAGCAUGACUUGCUAUGCUUAGUGGUAACUGAAUUAAUUAUUUGCUGACAUUGAUAUUCCACGAUAAUUGCCAGAUUUCACAGGAUUUCACAGAGAUUCAUGGGUUACCAGCUUUCAAAUCUGAUUAACCAAACUAAAAGAAAUAAAAUCAAGAAGUUCCUGAACUGCUGAUUGCUGGAAACAGUAUGGCAGAAAACACACCACCACAAACCUGUUCUCCUCUUAUACCUUCCUUAGGUAUCUGUUCUUGACCACAGAGAGAGAGAUGAAUACUGGGCUACGUAAGACUUCAUGGCCAUCCACAGAGAAUCUAAGACAUCAGUAUGACACUUUGACAAAGUACUGAAAUUGAUGCACAGCUAACAGACGAAAACACUGAAAACUCACAUCAUUCACAACUUGUUUGACUUGAGGCACACAGUUAUGAUAAUGACAACUGGAGCCAUACUGUGAUCUGCAUGCUUUCAGCAGCUCUCUCAGCUAUUUCCUCAUUGCUCACACUUUGUGAACACCUGAGGAUCUUGGGGAUUGCAUUGAUUCUGUCAAAGAAAAUUCUGACAAGGAGUCAAAUUAAAGACUACAUCACAUCUCAUCUUUUUAAAUAAAGAUACAAUGACAGAUUUUCAUCACCCAGGCUCAGAAAGGGAUUCAGCGGCUGCUAACUGAGCAAAUGGAGCAGUACCAACACAUGUGAGAAGAAAAUAUUCACCAUCUGGGCAGAGCUCUAUGCAACUGGCAAUCCUGCUUCUGAAGGCUGAGUACCCUCGCUCAUCACCACAGCAUGGUGAGUGGGCAGCCAGCACGUUUGGGGUAACGUCACAGCUUUCUACACAGGUCUGCAUAACACUGUAGGAGAUAGAUGAGUACACAGCACUAGCCACAAACUUUGGUUCACUAAUUUUUGAGUUUUGUUUUUUUUUUAACUUUUCUUCCUUGUCUUUUGAAUUCUUUCAACAUCUCCCCAUUCCACUUUGUCUAACAACUUUGCUUGUUGGAUCCAUUAGGCUGACAAUAAUCUUACUAGAAGCACUGGAUAUUUCUCUAUAGCACGCCUCUUUGGGAAAGGUUUCUGCCCCUCCCUCAAACCUAAGCAGGGCCCCUAGGAGCUAAGAUGCUUCUGAAAAUGCCUCCAAUAAGUCAUCUUCUAGAGUCCUUUCCUAUUUACAUUUUUUGUUGGGCAUGUCUGUUUCUACUAAGUGGCCAAGAUCUGGAUGUGGCUUUUUCCAUUAUGAUACUUAUUUGACUAUCUGUUAAUAAGCAG